CAUUCUCAAAAUCUGAGAUGAGCAAACAGCCGGGGGGGCCCCCUUUGUCCUCCCAGGACAUCUGCCCUGGCCAUUCCAAUAAUCUCAGCCUUAGUUAGCUUUGAAUCUCAAAUAAAAGACAUCCACUUGGCAGCUCAAGGCAAAAGGACCCAGAGAAAACACAUUCAAUACAGAAACUUGGGAUGAGUGAAGGAGCAUGAAGGUGAAUUCAGCCCUGCAGGAAGAAGAGCUUACACCAGGCCA
rnacentral:lncRNA from 1 species